rnacentral:rRNA from 1 species
CUUGCUCUCUGAUUCAGCGGCGGACGGGUGAGUAAUGCCUAGGAAUCUGCCUGAUAGUGGGGGACAACGUUUCGAAAGGAACGCUAAUACCGCAUACGUCCUACGGGAGAAAGCAGGGGACCUUCGGGCCUUGCGCUAUCAGAUGAGCCUAGGUCGGAUUAGCUAGUUGGUGAGGUAACGGCUCACCAAGGCGACGAUCCGUAACUGGUCUGAGAGGAUGAUCAGUCACACUGGAACUGAGACACGGUCCAGACUCCUACGGGAGGCAGCAGUGGGGAAUAUUGGACAAUGGGCGAAAGCCUGAUCCAGCCAUGCCGCGUGUGUGAAGAAGGUCUUCGGAUUGUAAAGCACUUUAAGUUGGGAGGAAGGGCAUUAACCUAAUACGUUAGUGUUUUGACGUUACCGACAGAAUAAGCACCGGCUAACUUCGUGCCAGCAGCCGCGGUAAUACGAAGGGUGCAAGCGUUAAUCGGAAUUACUGGGCGUAAA